UUGAACGACCAUAGGGGCUGGGUUCCACUGGAUCUCAUUUCGAACUCCACCGUUAAACCAGUUUCCGUUCCUGAGCUGUACUGCAUUUAAAUGCGGGAAACCUGGAAAGUCGUUCACC
rnacentral:rRNA from 1 species